UUUGAGAUUCAUUUAUGAUAAGAUUUUGACCCAUCUUAAUUAAAUUUCUAGUUCCGUCCCUGUAUUCAGAGACAAUCAAACAUAGCAAUCUCUAAAUAUUCUCUGAUAUGUGUAUCUGUGGUUGAUUUUCUAUUAUGUGGUAAGUGAGAUCCUUAUGUCACGUGAUAAAUGAUAGUAAGUGGUAGUGUCUGACGUAAAUAAUAUCAUGUCAUCACUGACCAUGUGGAAGUUGACAAGUUGUGACCAUUCCUUGUCCAAAUCAUUUGUUAUUUAUAUCUGUCAGUUAGCAACAUUCUGAGAUACUAUGCCACUGUACUUUCCACUAUCAUUUUUGCUGCAGAAAAAAAGUAGUAGUGAAUGGUCAUAAAAAAGUAAUGGUGGAAGUAGAACAAAAGAACUGAACAAGUCUUGUUUUCAUAUGAAAAAAUGGAAAAAUCUAAGACUCAUUCUUUUCCUACAAACUCAAGACUUACCUUACUUUACAAGUAACUGAGUUCAAUGAUGGUUUUCUGUUCUGAAGCAACAAGUUAGUUACUCUUCAUUCUUGUGUUGGAGAAAGAGUUUUUAACAUCAUUGUGUUAACCGAUUGAAGCAAAGAUGGGUUUUGAACCAUUGGUUUGGUACUGCAAGCCAGAACCAAACAGUAUUUGGUCUAAAACAGUAGAUAGUGCUUUUGGGUCAUAUACACCAUGUGCAAUUAACACUCUUGUUAUCUCAACCUCAAAUUUGGUUCUUAUGGGGCUGUGUUUAUAUAGAAUAUGGCUUAUUAUUUUCAAUGCCAAAGCUCAAAGGUUUUGUUUGAAAACAAAUUACUAUAGUUAUAUUCUUGCAAUGUUGGCUAGUUAUUGUGCUUUUCAGCCUUUGUUGAGAUUGUGGACUGGAAAUUCAGCCUUCAACCUGAAUGAGGAGACUGUUUUUGCUCCUUUUGAGGUAACAGGUCUGAUCAUUGAAUCACUUACUUGGUUCUCAAUGAUAAUUCUCAUCCUCUUAGAAACCAAGGUUUAUAUUAGGCAAUUUAGGUGGUUGGUGAGGUUUGGAGUUAUUUAUGUUUUGGUGGGAGAUAUUGUAAUGCUUGAACUUGUUCUGUCUGUGAAAGAUUACUCUAGCAGAUCUGCCCUAUAUCUGUAUAUUAGCACUGUUAUCUGUCAGGUGUUGUUUGGUAUCUUACUUAUAGUUUACAUUCCUAAUUUGGUUCCAUAUUCUGGUCAUACAACAUUCCAAGCUGACAUACCUAACAAUGGUGAAUAUGAACCACUUUGUGGAGAUGAUCAAGUUUGCCCUGAGAUGCGCGCCAGUUUCUUAUCUAGAUUAAGUUUUGGAUGGAUAACUCCACUCAUGAAACAAGGCUACCGAAAACCUAUCACUGAAAAGGACGUUUGGAAGCUAGACAAAUGGGACCAAACAGACACAUUAAGUGAAAAGUUCCAAAAGUGUUGGGUGUCAGAAUUUCAAAGCUCUAACCCUUGGCUUUUAAGAGCAUUAAACAACAGCUUAGGGAAAAGGUUUUGGUUUGGAGGCAUCUAUAAGAUUGGUUAUGAUCUUUCUCAAUUGGUUGCGCCGAUUUUGCUGAACCAUCUCUUAGAUUCAAUGCAAAAUGGAGAUCCGUCUUGGAUUGGUUACGUCUGUGCCUUCUCGAUAUUUGUUGGAGUGUCAGUUGGUAUUCUAUGUGAGACACAAUAUUUCCAGAAUGUUAUGCGCGUUGGUUUUCGACUGAGAUCAACAUUGGUGGCUGCUAUAUUUAGAAAGUCUUUGAGGCUAACUCAUGAAAGUAGAAAAAAGUUCUCAUAUGGGAAGCUUAUGAAUAUGAUAGCAACAGAUGCCAAUGCAUUACAGCAAAUAUGUCAACAACUUCAUGGACUAUGGUCAGCACCAUUUCGCAUCAUCAUAGCUAUGGUUCUCCUAUACCAACAACUAGGUGUUGCUUCACUUGUUGGCUCACUAAUGCUAGUUCUCAUUAUUCCAUUACAGACAUUUGUGAUUGGCAAAAUGAAAAAAUUGACAAAGGAAGGACUGCAACAGACAGACAAAAGGGUUGGUCUGAUGAAUGAAAUUCUUUCUACUAUGGAUACAGUAAAAUGUUAUGCAUGGGAAACAAGCUUUCAGUCUAGAAUUCAAAGCAUUCGACAUGAAGAACUUUCAUGGUUCCGCAAAGCAUAUCUUCUCUAUGCUUUAAACAGUUUUAUAUUGAACAGCAUUCCAGUUCUUGUGACAGUAACUUCCUUUGGAAUGUUUACAUUACUCGGUGGAGAAUUAACACCUGCAAGAGCAUUCACCUCACUAUCUCUGUUUACGGUUUUGCGUUCUCCUUUAAAUAGUCUUCCAAAUUUACUAAAUCAGGUAGCAAAUGCAAAUGUGUCAUUGCAACGUUUGGAGGAACUGUUUUUGGCCGAGGAACGGAAUUUAAAACAAAAUCCACCAAUUGUUCCAGGACUUCCAGCCAUCUCAAUAAAGAAUGGAUACUUUUCAUGGGAUCCUAAGGAAGAGAAGAAGCCCACAUUAUCAAAUAUAAAUGUUGAAAUACCAGUUGGAAGCUUAGUUGCAAUCAUUGGAGGUACUGGAGAAGGGAAAACAUCACUUAUUUCAGCAAUGCUUGGAGAGCUACCUCUUGUAUCUGAUGGAAAUGCUACAAUCAGAGGGACUGCAGCUUAUGUUCCGCAGAUUUCAUGGAUUUAUAAUGCUACAGUUCGUGACAAUAUAUUAUUCGGUUCAAAUUUCGACCAUGGACGAUAUUUGAAGGCUAUUGAUGUCACUUCCUUGGAGCAUGAUCUCAACUUUUUACCUGGCCGUGAUUUUACAGAGAUUGGAGAAAGAGGAAUCAAUAUUAGUGGUGGACAAAAGCAAAGAGUUUCUUUAGCUAGGGCUGUAUACUCAAAUUCAGAUGUAUAUAUAUUUGAUGAUCCUUUGAGUGCUCUUGAUGCUCAUAUUGCUCAAGAGGUUUUCAGGAACUGUAUAAAGGAAGGGCUGCAAGGAAAAACCAGAGUUCUUGUUACCAACCAGCUUCAUUUUCUCCCUCAGGUGGAUAAAAUUAUUCUGGUUAGUGAAGGCAUGAUUAAGGAGCAAGGAACGUUUGAGGAGUUGUUGAAAUGUGGGCCUCUAUUUCAGAAACUAAUGGAAAAUGCCGGGAAAAUGGAACAAGAAGUAGAUGGUCAAGACACAAAUGAUGUUUUACCUUUGGAUAAUGGGACAAUUGUAGAGUUGGCAAAUGAUUUAAGCUAUGGGAAGAAGGGAAAAUUUCAAAAAUCAGUACUUGUUAAGCAAGAAGAGCGGGAGACAGGCGUGGUUAGCUGGAAAGUUUUAAUGAGGUACACAUCUGCUUUGGGAGGAAUAUGGGUAGUUUCUAUACUUCUUGCAUGCUACACAUUAACAGAAGCUCUUCGAAUUUCGAGUAGUACAUGGUUAAGUGUGUGGACAUCUCAAGAUUCAACUGCAGCUUCUCGUGCCGGAUAUUUUCUUUUCAUCUAUGCAAUAUUCUCAUUUGGACAGGUAUCUGUGGCACUUGCAAACUCUUAUUGGUUGAUCACUGCAAGUCUUCGUGCUGCAAAACGAUUGCACGAUGCAAUGCUAGAUAAAGUUCUACGUGCCCCAAUGAUAUUCUUCCAGACUAAUCCUGUCGGCCGCAUGAUUAAUAGAUUUGCAAAAGACACAGGGGACAUAGAUUCCAAUGUUUAUAAUUUGGUGAAUAUUGUUCUAGGACAACUCUGGCAACUACUUUCAACAUUUGUUCUUAUAGGCACUGUCAGCACCAUAUCCCUGUGGGCCAUAAUGCCACUUCUGAUAUUUUUCUAUGUUGCUUAUAUUUACUACCAGAGCACAUCUCGAGAAGUGAAGCGCAUGGAUUCCAUUACAAGAUCGCCAGUUUAUGCACAUUUUGGAGAAUCAAUGAAUGGUGUGUCAAGCAUUCGUGCUUACAAGGCAUACGACAGGAUAUUACACGACAAUGGAAAAUUCAUGGAUAACAAUAUCAGAUUUACUCUUGCAAAUAUUAGUACAAACCGUUGGUUAACCAUAAGGUUAGAAAGUUUAGGUGGCCUCAUGAUUUGGUUGAUAGCAACAUUUGCUGUGUUACAAAAUGCACGAUCUGAAAACCCUACAUUGGUUGCAUCUACAAUGGGACUACUUCUCAGCUACACAUUGAACAUAACAAGUAUUAUGAGUAGCACACUUAGACAAGCAAGUAAAGCUGAAAACAGUUUAAAUUCGGUUGAGCGCGUUGGAACAUAUAUAGAUUUAGAAGCCGAGGGUCAAAGUAUAAUUGAGACGAACCGUCCACCACCAGGAUGGCCAACAAAAGGAUCAAUUGAGUUUGAGAAUGUUGUUUUGAGCUAUAGGCCGGAACUUCCUCCGGUCUUGCAUGGAUUGUCCUUUGUAGUGUCUUCAAUGGAGAAAAUAGGUGUAGUUGGAAGAACUGGUGCAGGAAAGUCUAGCAUGCUUAAUGCGUUAUUUCGGAUUGUGGAACUACAAAGUGGAAGAAUCAUUAUUGAUGGAUGUGAUAUUUCUACGUUCGGACUAGCAGACUUGAGAAGAGUUCUUACUAUCAUACCACAGUCCCCCGUUCUUUUCUCUGGAACUGUUCGUUUCAAUCUCGAUCCAUUUAAUGAAUACAAUGAUGUUGACAUAUGGGAAGCUUUGGAAAGGGCACACAUGAAGGAUGUAAUCAGAAGAAAUCAAUUUGGUCUAGAUGCUCAGGUUUCUGAAGGAGGAGACAAUUUCAGUGUUGGACAAAGGCAGCUGUUAAGUUUAGCAAGAGCAUUGCUAAGAAGAUCAAAGGUUCUUGUCCUCGAUGAAGCUACUGCUUCUGUAGAUGUUAGAACCGAUGCGCUUAUACAGAAAACUAUCAGACAAGAAUUUAAUUCAUGCACAAUGCUCAUCAUUGCACAUAGAUUGAAUACUGUUGUCGACUGCAACCGGAUUCUGUUGCUAGAUGCUGGAAAGGUUCUUGAAUACAAUUCACCUAAGGAACUCUUACAAAAUGAAGAAACUGCAUUCUACAAAAUGGUUCAAAGUACCGGUCCUGCAAAUGCUGAGUAUUUAUGCAGCUUAGUGUUUGGAAGGAAAGAGAACAAUUCAAAUGAAUAUAACAAGGAGUCGGAAAACGGUAUGAGACAGUUAGCAUCUACAGAUUGGACUGCUGCUACUCAGUUUGCAAUAGCUUCUACACUUUCUUCGUUACAUCAACACCUUCAAAGUCCAAAUACUAAAGACGAUAAAGAUAUCCUUAAUAGAACAUAGGAUGCAGUAGUUACACUGCCGGAAAGCAUGAUGAAACAAUAGAAGAGGCAUUCACUCAAUAUCAUGUUCAUACAGAUAGAUAGUGGUCUACUCUCUAUAAACUCAUUGAAGGAUUUUCUGUCUUGAUCAGAUUGCCUCAGGACAACUUGAGAUGGAAGUUGUAUAUUCGAUGAACCACCUCAAUAAUACGCACAUUCAAAAUUUCCAAUUGCCAUCCUAAAUUUGUUGAAUUUCUGUAAGUUUUGAUUUUCUAAAUUUUUUGUUACAUGAGUUCACGUAAAUUGAGUUCAUGCAAAUCCGGUUAGCAUAAUUUAGCACGUUUUGAGAAUGUAAUAAUGUUAAAAAUUUUAAGAGAAAA